AGCGAACGCUGGCGGCAGGCCUAACACAUGCAAGUCGAACGAACCCUUCGGGGUUAGUGGCGGACGGGUGAGUAACACGUGGGAACGUGCCUUUAGGUUCGGAAUAACUCAGGGAAACUUGUGCUAAUACCGAAUGUGCCCUUCGGGGGAAAGAUUUAUCGCCUUUAGAGCGGCCCGCGGCUGAUUAGCUAGUUGGUGAGGUAAAGGCUCACCGAGGCUACGAUCAGUAGCUGGUCUGAGAGGAUGACCAGCCACAUUGGGACUGAGACACGGCCCAAACUCCUACGGGAGGCAGCAGUGGGGAAUCUUGCGCAAUGGGCGAAAGCCUGACGCAGCCAUGCCGCGUGGAUGAUGAAGGUCUUAGGAUUGUAAAAUCCUUUCACCGGUGAAGAUAAUGACUGUAGCCGGAGAAGAAGCCCCGGCUAACUUCGUGCCAGCCGCCGCCGUAAAAC
rnacentral:rRNA from 1 species